UACGGGGGGGGCAAGCGUUGUUCGGAAUUACUGGGCGUAAAGGGCUCGUAGGCGGCCAUCUAAGUCGGAUGUGGAAUCCCCAGGCUUAACCCGGGAACUGCAUCCGAUACUGGUCGGCUUGAAUCCGGGAGAGGGAUGCAGAAUUCCAGGUGUAGCGGUGAAAUGCGUAGAUAUCAGGAAGAACACCAAUGGCGAAAGCAGCUCUCUGGGACGGUACUGACGCUGAGACGCGAAAGCGUGGGGAGCGAACAGG
rnacentral:rRNA from 1 species